UUGCUUACCUGAUGUUGGGCUCCCGGCGAUCAAUUAGGUGGGCACCCCGUGCCGAGGCCUUACCAUUGCACUGCGGUCACCUGAAGCACGCCACCACCCCCAACCAUAGUAGAUGGGGCAUGUGAUUUUUGGUAGAGGGGCUCGGCGUUACGCGCCAGCCCCUU